rnacentral:rRNA from 1 species
AACGAACGCUGGCGGCAUGCCUAACACAUGCAAGUCGAACGAGACCUUCGGGUCUAGUGGCGCACGGGUGCGUAACGCGUGGGAACCUGCCCUUAUGUUCGGAAUAACUCCCCGAAAGGGGUGCUAAUACCGGAUAAUGUUUUCGGACCAAAGAUUUAUCGCCUUUGGAUGGGCCCGCGUUGGAUUAGCUAGUUGGUAGGGUAAAAGCCUACCAAGGCGACGAUCCAUAGCUGGUCUGAGAGGAUGAUCAGCCACACUGGGACUGAGACACGGCCCAGACUCCUACGGGAGGCAGCAGUGGGGAAUAUUGGACAAUGGGCGAAAGCGUGAUCCAGCAAUGCCGCGGGAGUGAUGAAGGCCUUAGGGUUGUAAAGCGCUUUUACCCGGGAUGAUAAUGACAGUACCGGGAGAAUAAGCUCCGGCUAACUACGUG